GAUAAACGCUGGCGGCGUGCAUAACACAUGCAAGUCGAACGAGUGGCGGACGGGUGAGUAAUGUCUGGGAAACUGCCUGAUGGAGGGGGAUAACUACUGGAAACGGUAGCUAAUACCGCAUACCAUCGGAUGUGCCCAGAUGGGAUUAGCUAGUAGGUGGGGUAACGGCUCACCUAGGCGACGAUCCCUAGCUGGUCUGAGAGGAUGACCAGCCACACUGGAACUGAGACACGGUCCAGACUCCUACGGGAGGCAGCAGUGGGGAAUAUUGCACAAUGGGCGCAAGCCUGAUGCAGCCAUGCCGCGUGUAUGAAGAAGGCCUUCGGGUUGUAAAGUACUUUCAGCGGGGAGGCGUUACCCGCAGAAGAAGCACCGGCUAACUCCGUGCCAGCAGCCGCGGUAAUUC
rnacentral:rRNA from 1 species